AUUGAACGCUGGCGGCAUGCUUUACACAUGCAAGUCGAACGGCAGCACGGGUGCUUGCACCUGGUGGCGAGUGGCGAACGGGUGAGUAAUGCAUCGGAACGUACCUAUCAGUGGGGGAUAACACAUCGAAAGAUGUGCUAAUACCGCAUAUUAUCCGAGGAUGAAAGCGGGGGACCUUAGGGCCUCGCGCUGAUAGAGCGGCCGAUGUCGGAUUAGCUAGUUGGUGAGGUAAAGGCUCACCAAGGCGACGAUCCGUAGCGGGUCUGAGAGGAUGAUCCGCCACACUGGGACUGAGACACGGCCCAGACUCCUACGGGAGGCAGCAGUGGGGAAUUUUGGGACAAUGGGCGAAAGCCUGAUCCAGCCAUGCCGCGUGAGUGAAGAAGGCCUCGGGUUGUAAACUGCUUUGUACGGUAACGAAAAGGUACUCGUCUUAAUACGGGGGCGUCAUGACGGUACCGUAAGAAUAAG
rnacentral:rRNA from 1 species